rnacentral:rRNA from 1 species
AUUGAACGCUGGCGGCAUGCCUUACACAUGCAAGUCGAACGGUAACAGGUAUUCGGAUGCUGACGAGUGGCGAACGGGUGAGUAAUACAUCGGAACGUGCCCGAUCGUGGGGGAUAACGAAGCGAAAGCUUUGCUAAUACAGCAUAAGAUCUACGGAUGAAAGCAGGGGACCGCAAGGCCUUGCGCGAACGGAGCGGCCGAUGGCAGAUUAGGUAGUUGGUGGGAUAAAAGCUGACCAAGCCGACGAUCUGUAGCUGGUCUGAGAGGACGACCAGCCACACUGGGACUGAGACACGGCCCAGACUCCUACGGGAGGCAGCAGUGGGGAAUUUUGGACAAUGGGCGAAAGCCUGAUCCAGCCAUGCCGCGUGCAGGAUGAAGGCCUUCGGGUUGUAAACUGCUUUUGUACGGAACGAAAAGACUCUUUCUAAUAAAGAGGGUCCAUGACGGUACCGUAAGAAUAAGCACCGGCUAACUACGUGCCAGCAGCCGCCGUAAAAC